rnacentral:rRNA from 1 species
GACGGAAGGUGCAAGCGUUGCUCGGAAUCACUGGGCGUAAAGGGUGCGUAGGCGGCCGUGCAAGUCUGGCGUGAAAGCCCCGGGCUCAGCCUGGGAAGUGCGCUCGAAACUGCGCGGCUCGAGUGCCGGAGGGGAGAGUGGAAUUCCUGGUGUAGCGGUGAAAUGCGUAGAUAUCAGGAGGAAUACCGGUGGCGAAAGCAGCUUUCUGGGACGGUACUGACGCUGAGACGCGAAAGCGUGGGGAGCGAACAGG